rnacentral:rRNA from 1 species
AGAGUUUGAUCAUGGCUCAGAACGAACGCUGGCGGCAUGCCUAACACAUGCAAGUCGAACGAAGCCUUCGGGCUUAGUGGCGCACGGGUGCGUAACGCGUGGGAAUCUGCCCUUGGGUUCGGAAUAACAGUUAGAAAUGACUGCUAAUACCGGAUGAUGUCUUCGGACCAAAGAUUUAUCGCCCAAGGAUGAGCCCGCGUAGGAUUAGGUAGUUGGUGGGGUAAUGGCCCACCAAACCGACGAUCCUUAGCUGGUCUGAGAGGAUGAUCAGCCACACUGGGACUGAGACACGGCCCAGACUCCUACGGGAGGCAGCAGUGGGGAAUAUUGGACAAUGGGCGAAAGCCUGAUCCAGCAAUGCCGCGUGAGUGAUGAAGGCCUUAGGGUUGUAAAGCUCUUUACCAGGGAUGAUAAUGACAGUACCUGGAGAAUAAGCUCCGGCUAACUCCGUG